rnacentral:rRNA from 1 species
GAAUUGACGGGGGCCCGCACAAGCAGUGGAGCAUGUGGUUUAAUUCGAAGCAACGCGAAGAACCUUACCAGGGCUUGACAUCCCUCUGACGUAUACAGAGAUGUAUAUUUCCUUCGGGACAGAGGAGACAGGUGGUGCAUGGUUGUCGUCAGCUCGUGUCGUGAGAUGUUGGGUUAAGUCCCGCAACGAGCGCAACCCUUGUCGUUAGUUGCCAGCACUUUGGGUGGGCACUCUAACGAGACUGCCGGCGACAAGUCGGAGGAAGGUGGGGAUGACGUCAAAUCAUCAUGCCCCUUAUGUCCUGGGCUACACACGUGCUACAAUGGCGGCUACAGAGGGAAGCAAAGCCGCGAGGUGGAGCAAAUCCCCAAAAGUCGUCCCAGUUCGGAUUGCAGGCUGCAACUCGCCUGCAUGAAGUCGGAAUUGCUAGUAAUGGCAGGUCAGCACACUGCCGUGAAUACGUUCCCGGGCCUUGUACACACCG